rnacentral:misc_RNA from 1 species
UGUGGGAGCGAGCCUGCUCGCGAUAGCGUCAGUCCAGUCAACAUCCAUCUGAACUGACACACCGCAAUCGCGAGCAGGCUCGCUCCCACA